CUGGGAGCCAGUGCCAGAUUGAGAGAGAGCAGGAGACAAAAGUAGUAUUUUCUUCGUUCUCCUGGGCUGGCAGCAGGGUUUUCCCCCAGCGCCACUUGCUCCUGGCAGCCCUAACCCUGGGUGCCAGAGCGGCCAAGGCCCAGCCCAGGACCUACGGACUGAUGGACGCCAGAACCCAGGAGGUCCAUGGGCCUGUCCGACAGAGGCUGGCACCUGGGCAUGGCCUGCUGGCUGGCAGGAGCCCCCUUACCUAGCCAGGGCAAGGGAGACAUCAUUUUCACUUGCUGGCUUUUGAGAAAGUGACCCUGUCCUCCUGUUCCUGGUUCAUACCUGUUGGUGGAGAUGUUAGAGAGGAGUGGAGAUAAAAACUUGAUGAAGUCCGACACAGCUGGCUGGGAGUGAACCUGGAUGCUCCUGAGGACCCCCCAGGAAAGUAAGCACCUGGCAUGUGUAUCAGAAGACCCCCUACUGUCUCACACACAGCCUUCCCCCAGCCAGCUUCAACAGGCUCAGAACCAGCUGUCCAUCACUCAGAGUCAUCCCAUUGGAGUCUACGCACGUUGGUGCUACUAGAGGUGGUAGGUUAAGGCAUUGUGUCUGCCUCUGUCCAGUGGGUGGGACUGUGCUGGCUUCUCUCAUGCUAUGGCUAAGAAGGGCCCUGUAUGGAGGAGCCCAGACCUGUGGGGCUCUGCGGCUUCAAGAUAGUUUCAAGGAGAAUACACAAGAGGCCCUGUCAACUGGGAUGACCUAG
rnacentral:lncRNA from 1 species